CGACCCUAGGUCAGGCGGGGCUACCCGUUGAGUUUAAGCAUAUCAAUAAGAGAAGGACAAGAAACUUACGAGGAUUCCCUUAGUAAUGGCGAGCGAACCUGGAAGAGCCCAGCUUGAGAAUUGGGCGGCUUUGUCGUUUGAAUUGUAGUCUGUAGAAGCGUACUCAGUGGCGGACCGGGCCCAAGUCCCCUAGAAGGGGGUACCGAAGAGGGUGAGAGCCCCGUCAUGUCUAGACCCUAUCAUACCACAAGGUGUUGUCGACGAGUCGGGUUGUUUGGGAAUGUAGCCCCAAUUGGGCGGUAAAUUUUGUCCAAGGCUAAAUAUGGGUGAGAGACCGAUAGCGAACAAGUACCGUGAGGGAAAGAUGAAAAGGACUUUGAAAAGAGAGUCAAAGAGUGCUUGAAAUGUUUAGGAGGGAAGCGGAUGGGGGCUGGCGAUGCAUCUCGAUCGGAUGCAGAACGGUUAAUAGUCGGUCCACCGCUCGACUCGGGGCGUGGACCGAUGUGGAUUGUGGCGGCGUCCCAAGCUCGGGUUAUAGUGUUAUACCUGAGGAGAUGUCGUGGCUGUGAUCAUGGUAGGCAGCGUGUGCCUCGAUGGCGUACUUAUUGGCAACUGCAUGCUCCCAGCAUCGGCCUGUCGGGCUCCCCAUUCGACCUGUCUUGAAACAUGGACCAAGGAGUGAUAUGUGUGCGAGUCAACGGGCGAGUAAAACCCGUAAGGCGUAAGGAAGCUGACUGGUGGGAUCCCAUUGUGGGUUGCACCGUCGGCCGACCUUGAUCUUCUGUGAAGGGUUCGAGUGAGAGCAUACCUGUCGGGACCCGAAAGAUGGUGAACUAUGCCUGAGCGGGGCAAAGCCAGAGGAAACUCUGGUGGAGGCCCGCAGUGAUACUAAUCGAACCGUCUAGUAGCUAGUUCCCUCUAAAGUUUCACUCAGGAUAGCUGGAGCCCGUGGGCAAGUUCUGUCUGGUAAAGCCAAUGAUUAGAGGCAUCGAGGGCGCAAUGCCCUCGACCUAUUCUCAAACUUUAAAUAGGUAGGAUUGCGUGGCUGCUUUUUUAAGCCACACCAUGGAAUCGAGAGCUCCAAGUGGGCCAUUUUUGGUAAGCAAAACUGGUAAUGCAGGAUGAACCGGAAGCCGGGUUACGAUGCUGGAUUGCAUGCUAACCUAGAAUCCUCAAAGGGUGUUGGUCGAUUAAGAUAGCAGGACGGUGGUCAUAGAAGUCAAAAUCCGCUAAGGAGUGUGUAACAACUCACCUGUCGAAUAAACUAGCCCCGAAAAUGGAUGGCGCUAAAGCACGGAACCUAUACCCGGCCGUCAGGGCAACUGAUAGGCCCCGAUGAGUAGGAGGGCACGGCGGUCACCGUAAAACCUGAGGCGUGAACCCGAGCGGAGUGGCCAUCGGUGCAGAUCUUAGUGCUAGUAGCAAAUAUUCAAAUGGAAACUUUGAAGCCCGAAGAGGGGAAAGGUUCCUUAUGAACGGCACUUGCACAUGGGUUAGUCGAUCCUAAGGGACGGGGGAAGCCCGUCAAAGAGUGUGUACGCACGCGUGCUCCAAAAGGGAAUCGGGUUAAAAUUCCCAAACUGGGACAGGGCGGUUGACGGCAACGUUAGGAAGUCCAGAGAUGUCGACAGGGGCCUCAGGAAGAGUUAUCUUUUCUGUUUAAUAGCCUGCCCACCCUGGAAACGGCUCAGUCGGAGGUAGAGUCCAACGGAUGGAAGAGCACCGCAUGUCAUGUGGUGUCCGAUGCACCCGCGGCAGCCCUUAAAAAUCCCAAGGACCGAGUGCCGACCACGCCCAGUCGUACUCAUAACCGCAUCAGGUCUCCAAGGUGAACAACCUCUGGUCGAUGGAACAAUGUAGGCAAGGGAAGUCGACAAAAUGGAUCCGUAACCUCGGGAAAAGUAUUACCUCUGAGGGCUAGGCAUGAGGGUCCCAGUCCCGAACCCGUUGGCUAUCGACGGACUGCUUGAGCUGCUUUCACGGUGAGAGCGGGUCACCACGUGCCAAUCGGGGGAGGACUAGGAAUGGCUCCCUAGGGGGCCUUCCCCGGGCGUCGAACAGUCAACUCAGAACUGGUACAAACAAGGGGAAUCCGACUGUUUAAUUAAAACAAAGCAUUGCGAUGGUCCCUGUGGAUGCUCGCGUAAUGUGAUUUCUGCCUAGUGCUUUGAUUGUCAAAGUGAAGAAAUUCAACCAAGCGCGGGUAAACGGCGGGAGUAACUAUGACUCUCUUAAGGUAGCCAAAUGCCUCGUCAUCUAAUUAGUGACACGCAUGAAUGGAUUAACGAGAUUCCCACUGUCCUUGUCUACUAUCUAGCAAAACCACAGCCAAGGGAACGGGCUUGGUAGAAUCAACGGGGAAAGAAGACCCUAUUGAGCUUGACUCUAGUCCGACUUUGUGAAAUAACUUGAGAGGUGUAGGAUAAGUGGGAGCUGGAAAUGGCGCAAGUGAAAUACCACUACUUUUAAUGUUAUUUUACUUACUCCGUGAGUCGGAGGCGGGGCUCUGCCCCUCCUUUUGGACCCAAGGCCUGCCUCGGUGGGGUGAUCUGGGUGGAGGACACUGUCAGGUGGGGAGUUUGGUUGGGGUGGCACAUCCGUUAAAAGAUAACGUAGGUGUCCUAAGAUGAGCUCAACGAGAACAGAAAUCUCAUGUGGAACAAAAGGGUAAAAGCUCGUUUGAUUCUGAUUUCCAGUACGAAUACGAAUCGUGAAAGCGUGGCCUAUCGAUCCUUUAGACCUUCAGAAUUUGAAGCUAGAGGUGUCAAAAAUUUACCAAAGGGAUAACUGGCUUGUGGCAGCCAAGCGUUCAUAGCGACAUUGCUUUUUGAUCCUUCAAUGUCAGCUCUUCCUAUCAAUGAGAAGCAGAAUUCGCCAAGUGUUGGAUUGUUCACCCACCAAUAGGGAACGUGAGCUGGGUUUAAACCAUCGUGAGAUAGGUUAGUUUUACCCUACUGAUGACAGUGUCGCGAUAGUAAUUCAACCUAGUACGAGAGGAACCAUUGAUUCACACAAUUGGUCAUCACGCUUGGUUGAAAAGCCAGUGGCACGAAGCUACCGUGUGCCAGAUUAUGACUGAACGCCUCUAAGUCAUAAUCCAGGCUAAAGAAGCGACGCCAGAGCCCGUUGCCCGCUUGUCGACCCGUAGUAGGGGACUUUCGACCCCUAGAGGCACAUGUCGUCAGCCAAGCCCCCGUAGUGGGCGUGUUGUGUGGGCUACCUUGAAGUGUAAUUCCUGUCGGGCGAUGGGUCGAAUCCUUUGCAGACGACUUAAAUACGCGAUGGGGUAUUGUAAGUGGCAGAGUGGCCUUGCUACCAUGAUCCACUGAGAUUCGGCCCGUAUCACAUCGAUUCGU